CAAGGUUCGCAUAACAGCGAUUAAAAGGGAAUGUGAGUGAAAAUCUCCAACUGUCCCGCAGCUGUGAGUUCCUUUAUGCACUUCAGACAUAAUAAUCCACUGUUUUCGCCCAACAAAAGGGUAAAAUGGGAAGGAGUCUGCAGUUGGAACGAAGUCAGAAGACCUGCCUUGGAGAA
rnacentral:ncRNA from 1 species